GGAUGGCUGGCAGCUUCCCCUGCAGCUGUGAGGAUCUAAUUUUAGCAGGCUUUUAGAUGACUGAGUUCUACAGUUCAGCAUGCAAACAUUGAGGAUGGCUGCUGCUAUUGUUUAUAUUCUAGAGCCGUAAUGAAGUGGACCGGGAGGAGGAAACACAUUAUGAUCCGACACCAGUAAGCUUAAGAAUCCACCCAUCUUCUGAAAGCUGGGGAGCUUCACUUUAGGAAAACUACCAAAGAUCUGGAAAAUACAUCCCUGAUUUCUUCUGACAUCUGAAAAAUACCUCAUGCAGCAUUGACGUUUGAGGAGUUAUUUUCAGGCCACAGGUUUGUAGCAACAGCAGUGAAAAAAAGCAAAAUCCCAAAAACACCAUCUUAACUCCAGGUGUCGCAAUUUCAUAAAUUACACCUAUUUUAAGGACAACACCUGCUUUCUCUGUUUUGUCAAAAAUGCAAGAAACAAAAAUCACUGACCUCCCUCUAGCUGGGAUUUUGUACGCUGUGCCAUCUGCAGUCGUGAUCAGAAAAGACCACAAUCAAAGACAGGUAUUUAAAAGAAACAACUACCUGUACUGUCGUGCAAUCCCUGUGGUUCUUUUGUAACUUAAAUAUUACAAUUUGUCUGCAAAGGUGUUUGAAAACCAAGGUUCUGACUCAUAAAUCAACAUAUAAAAUUGACAUGUUUUUGGAGUUGACUGGAAAAAAACCCCAUGUAAACAGAAACAUAAACCAGCGUUAAAGACAGCAAUGCAAAUCAAUAAGUUUCUUACAGUACUGAGCAGAUCUAAAAGUGAGUUUUCAUGCGUGGGUGUGCCUUAAUAAAUUACUUUUUUUUUUUUAUGAACAAGCAUUUUUUUUUCAACAUUUUCCUCCAAAAAAGAAAAGUGAAAUAAGCAGCAAAAUCAGAGUCCUUAUAAAAGGUAAAAUGUAUUGGGAGAGAAUGAGAGAAAAUAAAUCAAUCUGUUACCGUGGUGACAACUGUCUCAUACACAAAUGGAUGUGAAAUAUUAUCCAUUGUUAAGCUUUUUCAGAAGAGAAGUGACACACGACAUUUUUGAGACACUUUUUUUGCUUUACAGCUCAUAAAAAAAAAAAAAAGUCAGGUCAAAACUACAUAAAGGAAGUAAAGUUGAUUACUGUCCACUAUGGUUACAAAAAAUGUUUUGUAACUGUUUUUGUAACUUUUUUUUCAAGGAAAUUUGUGAAUCAUGUCACAUUCUUAACUAUGGAAACCAAUAACAUAUCUAACUUGAAGCGAUAUAAUGACCAGAAUUUGACUACACAAUGCAUCGUUUUCAGAGCACAUGCAGCACUAUUGUUUUGCCAUUUUGAAAGGGCUUUAACACAGCAAUCCGGCACCAGAGCUGCUGAUUUUAAGCGCUCCAACAAAGAAACGCAAGGACAGAGACGUCAAGGCUAUUCUAAGGGAGAAAACCUGUCCGCUUGCAAGAGUGGUGUCACGGGGCCUUACUUAUCUCCUCCCAGAUUAAGUCCCAAUUGUUGGUCAGGAACAAAGGCGGUCAGUGAGGAAACCAGCCCCCCAAAGGCCAGAUGGUCAGCGUCCACAGCCCCCCUCACCACCUGACCCCUCCAGCCCUCACUCUCUGUGACAGGGCUGCACGUGCUUUCAUCAAGACAGGCCACCCAGCUAAUUCACAACGCUCACCAAAUAACAAUAAUACCUGCGUGAUUCAGGGCAAAUAAAGAAUUCUUGCAUUUUUAUUGAUAAACGCUGAGGUGUAGAAUGCCAAAAAAUAAAUAUAAAUUUUAUAUCAUAUUGAAUAUUAGUGAUUUAAAUUACUUAUUUACCUAAAUAUCUUACCUAGAUAUUUUGAUUAGAACUUUGUUCAGUAAUUAGCUUUUAUUAUUUCUUGAGUGGUCUCCAGGGGUUGGUUGUAUCCAUUAAUCAACUAAUUCAAAGUUAAGAACUUUCAUAAGUUGUCAUAGACAAAAUAUGUAAGUUGGAUUAAGAAUUUAAGUUUGUAUUGCGCCGUAGCCCAUUUAGUGAAUCUGCUGAAGCUAAAGUCACACAAGCUAGCAAGCUAAGCUUCUAAUCCCUCAGGCAGUUGUUGCUAGUGAAUAGCACAUGUCUGCUGAGGUUAUCAUAGAAAAGGGUUCAAAGGUCACCUUAUUGGAUUUUAAAAAGUUUAAUUGCUAUUUUACUGUUUUAUGCCUUAUUUUAUUUUAUUUUUGUAUUUCCUAUUUACCUGGGAGAACAAACCGCUAUGAAACAUGGUAAAGCCAGUGUUAAAAAUUAACCAUUAAAGUCAUUUCAAUUUUAGUUAAGGAGUUUAGCUCAUAAAUGUAAUGUUUUAUAAUUAUUAUAUAUAUCUAGAUAUUAGAUAUUUUAUAUCUAACAAAAUUAACUACUUUGUUUUGCUAGCAUGUCCUGGAGUUGAAACUUAAGAUAUAGUUUCAGUAAACUAUUAGCUAUUCUCAUCUAUUAUGCAGAGUCCAGCUAUGCUCACCAGUAAGGCUAAUAUGUUCAUAUCAUUUGUACUAUAGAUUAAUAUGUUAAUUUAGUAAAAUUUUUAAAUGAUCAUAACACAUUUUAGGCAUACAUACAGUACAUUAUUAGAGGAAUAUGUUACAGUUUUUCUCAAUAGCUUUGGCAUGUAUGUCAGAUCAGAACUGAAAUUCUCAAAACUGCUUGUUCAACCAUAAAAUCAUUGUCAUUUGUUUCUCAUUUCUUUGAGCAUGUGUCCUACGUUUUCAAAUGUAUUAUAUGAAUAGCCUCAGUCUCCACAACAUUUCAGCAUAAACGUGUCAUAAAAUCUCAAAAUUAAAAAAAGAAAAUGUUUGAACAAGUUGUAAUAAGUCAAGUGUAUUACUAUGCAUUUCAAUCAUUUUUUGUCCUGCAUUGAUAAAUUGCCCCCAGGUGAAUCCUGACUUUCUCCGACGUAGGCAAAUGUAUGAAGCAUUGGAUCAACCAACGAUUAAUCUAUAUUCUGAAAUAGCUCAAAGGUUCAUGAACCAUCAAUGGGAAAGUAUAUAGUGUAUAGAGGCAGAGUACAACACAAAGCUGAACUUCUGACAAUGGAAGAACAAAGAUUUGGAUGGGGUCAAAUCCAGAGAGAAGAAGAAGAGGAGUGAGAAUCUGGGGAGAAGGAGUCAGGAGGCAAAACAGAGGAAGAGGCAGAAGAAGUGGAGGACAUAUGCCAGUUUCCAUUGCUCCAAUAUCGUCAGGCAAUAGUUUGCCACCCACAACAAGAUGCUGGUAGCGUUCCCCCUACUCUUCAUUCCUUAGCCCCUUUUAGAACAUUUUCUUAGUACGGAGAUGGAAAGUGCAUGAUUGCCAGCCACAUACACAGAUGACCUUUCUGGCUGCCAUGUGUGAUGACUUUGCAACAGAUGCCUGCUGAGGCUAGAUAAGACACUCUAAUGAAUUGUUUCCACAAGAUCGCAAGAGAAGAUAUUUGUUGUAAUGCAGAAGAGAAAUUGUGGCGCAACAGCCAGGAAGGUCAGGCGUUGUAGGAAGACUGCACUGUAAUUCCAACAGCACUGCAAAAGUUUUUGUUACAGCUGCAGUAUGUAACUUUCAUAAAAAACACUUUUUUUUACAGAUUUGUUAAAAGUGUCACUAUGUCCUGAAAGUAUAACAUGAGAGAGAAAAAAACAUAGCUUGUCUGCCUUCUCCCUGUGGUUCUACUCCCAUCUGCAUAAAUGUACCGCUCCCUUUCAGAAACAACCAAUCAGAGCCAUGAGUAUGGUUUUAGCGUUGUCAAUCAUGCUCGUGUGGUGUUUCUCAAUGUGUUAAUGGCGGAGAAACAACUUACUAUUACAGGAAAACUGCUUGUCCACUGUGGCCAUGCUAACUAGCCUGCGCAUUCAUGACAUGCUCUGCUGUGGGGAAGACACAGCAACCUAGUAGAGAGAAAGGGUUUGAGCAAUGCCUACACUAGGGUGAUUGACAAUGCUAAAACUCCCCUCCUGGCUCUGAUUGGUUGUUCCUGACCAAGUGAAAUAAGUGUAAUGUAUAUACGGAAUUUACGAAAUUCACUGAUGUGUCUUGCAGCUGUGAUCGUUCUAUUUGAGGAAUAUUUAAUGUCUUUUGUAAAUGUAUGCAAAUGAUUGCACCAGUUUCAUUGCUUUAAUUCUAACAGCUUGUUUUACAACAGCUUGUGAAAAUACGUAAACUUAUCAGUCUCCAUAAGAAAUGGCUCCACGUGGAGUAACAAAGAGAAGCAGUUUUCAUAAACAUAAAUUAAGAUAACCAAUGUAUGAUAACAUGCUGGAAAUAAAAGCUAAUAAAUCAAAUUUAUGGAGAGAACAAAUAGAUUUAUAGAUUAGAAUUUUCCCAAGAGUGACAAAGCUCUAAAGACAUCUUCUCUGCACUGUCAUCUGAUAGGAUUUUAUCUGUGUCUGUUUCAACACAAGCCUUAGGCAACUGCUGUUUUCUGCAGACAAGCACUUAAAUUAGUGCUUUGGCUCCAGACCUCGUAUACUUGACAUGACUUCAUCAGCAAUGAGACAACACAGGCAGAAUCAAUACAAUUUCCUCCAGCAUGAAAAUUGUCGUUGCACAUGAAAACUAACAUUGGCAACUUAAAACGCUUUAGGCUGCCAGGGGUCGGUUGCAUACACAGACUUGCAGUCUGACCUAAGUACGGCAAUAAGGCGAGGCUUCCUAAACAAAUGAAGAAAAACUGGUUUUUCAAAGCGAAAUUGGUGCAUCAGAAACAGCAAGAGAAAAGUUGUCCUAUACUUUUAAACGGAUUGUGCACGACAACCUUGUUGUUUUUAUUAACCUUUUGCAGUCCCUCUUCUCUGUGCGAUCAUUUAACAUUUUCCGACAAAAUCUGCGGAUGAAAGAAACUUUGGCUGACAGACUGCUUGCGCGCGACCACCGUCCUGACAGCCUCACGGUCGGGCAAACGUUAAAUGUACGUGACAUUUGUCACACUUUUAGAGCAAAACAGCCAAGUGAA